AUGGGGGAAAAUAGAAGGCUCAUUAAUUUUUUAUACCCACAGGUAGAAGACAUGCAGUGGGCUAAUAGAGAACACACUCAUCCAGCAUCUGUCUGCAGCCUGCCCUGUAAAGCUGGAGAAAGAAAGAAAACCGUGAAGGGAGUGCCCUGCUGCUGGCACUGUGAACGCUGUGAGGGGUACCAUUACCAGGUGGAUGAAUUCAACUGUGAACUGUGCCCCAUUAAUAAGAGACCAAAUGCCAACCGUACAGACUGCCAGCUUAUCCCUAUAAUCAAACUGGAGUGGCAUUCUCCUUGGGCCAUCGUGCCCGUCUUCAUCGCUAUUCUCGGUAUAAUUGCCACCACCUUUGUGAUUGUGACAUUUGUCCGCUACAAUGACACACCGAUCGUCAGGGCCUCUGGACGGGAGCUCAGUUAUGUGCUCUUGACUGGGAUUUUUCUCUGUUACUCGAUUACUUUUUUAAUGAUUGCGACUCCUGAUACAGUGGUCUGCUCGUUUCGAAGGAUCUUUUUAGGACUUGGCAUGUGCUUCAGCUAUGCUGCCUUGCUCACCAAAACAAACAGGAUUCACAGAAUAUUUGAACAAGGUAAAAAAUCUGUCACAGCUCCCAAAUUUAUUAGUCCAGCUUCUCAGCUGGUGAUCACUUUCAGCCUCAUAUCCAUGCAGCUUAUUGGCGUCUUCAUCUGGUUUGCUAUCGAUCCACCACAUAUCAUUGUAGACUAUGGAGAGCAGAGGACACUUGAACCAGAAAAUGCCAGGGGAGUUCUCAAAUGUGACAUUUCAGAUCUUUCUCUCAUUUGUUCCCUUGGAUACAGUAUUCUCUUGAUGGUCACAUGCACUGUUUAUGCUAUUAAAACAAGAGGGGUUCCAGAGACCUUCAACGAAGCAAAACCCAUUGGAUUUACUAUGUAUACAACCUGCAUAAUUUGGUUAGCUUUUAUUCCAAUCUUUUUUGGUACGGCCCAAUCAGCAGAGAAG